CGUGCCGUGGCCUACUGGUUAGCGCUUCGGACUUGUAACCGGAGGGUUGCCGGUUCGAACCCCGACCAGUAGGCACGG
rnacentral:tRNA from 1 species